UUUUAAAAUUUAGCUGUUUGACUAUUUUUUUGAAGUGCCAUCUAAUUUUUCUUUUUUUCGAAAGUUGGUAGUAUUGUACGGAGAGUCAGUUGAAAUAAUUUCAGUUGAUCAGAAUUGAUUGGAAUUGCCGGUUAAAUUUUUCAGUUAUUUCGUCCGGUCAUUGUUAGUAUUCGGUGAGGACUGAGAAGUUUCGACGAGCGUGAAUUACUCUUGGCUUGGAUACGAAAAAAUAAAGUUUAUAGAUACUCAAGAUUAAGAGAUCUGUUAUAUCGGUGGUAUAGAGGGACACGUACAUAUGUAAAGAAGAAGGGCUACGUUCCUUGUUAUUCACCGAAUAUUAAACAAAGAUAAAUGAUGCAUCAUGCGCAUCAUGCGUGAAACGGAACGCAGUCCUGUUUAUGUAUGAUAUACGUCAUAUAUCCUGAAAAUCAAAAACAAUAUUUAUAUGCGAUAAAAUAUAACGAGCUGAAAUACAAAGGUAACGCGACUCCGUAACUAAUUAUAAAUUCUAUCUCGUAUUUCGUUACAACGAUGAACAUUACACAUUAGAGGCGAUAUAUUACGAUUUAAUUACAAUUCAGGUACGAACACUGACCUCUUAUAACAUCUCCUAAUGAUAUACAUAUUACGGCAUAUAGUAUAAUGUUCAAUUGAAAUUUAUCUUUCUA